UUUCAGUGAUGCACGAUGUUAUUAUACAUACUUUGUGGAAUUCUGCUGUUAUCUAUAAAUUUUCCUAACACUGACACCAGCAGUAAUGCUAUGCUGGUGCAUCGCGUGGCGGGUUACUGACAAGGCUACGCUGUUACCGUGUCCUGCUUCGGGCGAUUGCUGGUGAUGUGGUGGUUAAAAACCACCAUUCCAGUCACCGCCAAAUCCUGCAUGUGUUAUCUUUUGAUGCUGUAAUGAUAGCAUCACCGGCGUACGAGAACGCGCACGAGAAAAUCU